rnacentral:rRNA from 1 species
ACUUUCAGCAAUGGAUCUCUUGGCUCUUGCAUCGAUGAAGAACGCAGCGAAAUGCGAUACGUAGUGUGAAUUGCAGAUUCGUGACUCAUCGAAAUUUUGAACGCAUAUUGCACCUAGCGGCCAUUCCGUUAGGUAUGCUUGUUUGAGUGUCUGUCUGAUUUUCUCAACUUUUUAAAAAAAAAAUUAAAACCUUUUUUUUUUUUGCAAGUUGGCUUUGGUCUUGGCUGCGUUAACUCGUGCCUUGGCCGUAAAUAAGACAGCGGUCUGCUCUAGUUAAGCUCGCAGUGAGCUUGGCAAGUAACCGAAAUCCUAGUCAAGUACUUGGGUGGAAGGAGCUUGUCGACUCAGCGCGCGCAACACUUUUCUAAAGUGGCCCUUUUUUUCGACUUUGGUCGCCUGCGGUCAAGUAGAAAAAAAGAUUUUUCAGUUUUUCAUAACUGGACCUCAAAUCAAGCAAGGUUACCCGCUGAACUUAAGCAUAUUAAUAAGCGGAGGAAAAGAAACUAACAAGGAUUCCCCGAGUAAUGGCGAAUGAAACGGGAAAAGCCCAAAUUUGAAAUCUCCUAGCUUUUAUCGCUAGGCGAGUUGUAAUUUGUAGAAGGUCUUCAUCUGAACUGUGUUUGCUAAAGUCCAUUGGAAAAUGGCGGGCCUUUAUGGUCCUCAAGUCGUAGAGGGUGACAACCCCGUUCUUGGCAUUCUACUAGUUCUUUUGUAUGAUUCCUUCAAAGAGUCGGAUUGUUUGGGAAUGCAAUCCAAAACGGGUGGUAAAUUCCAUCCAAGGCUAAAUAUUAGCAAGAGACCGAUAGCGAACAAGUACCGUGAGGGAAAGAUGAAAAGAACUCUGAAGAGAGAGUUCAACAGUACGUGAAAUUGCUGAAAGGGAAACGCUUGAAACGAUUGUUGCUUUUGGUUUCGGCCUUGAGCGAGUCAGCAGCAGUUUUAAACGGUAAAGAAGUGCUUGUGGAAGGUAGUUUUCUUUGGAAAAUGUUAUAGCCAUAAGUAACUGUGCCGGUUAGGACUGAGGAUCGCUUUUAAGUGUCUUGUCGAGGAAUUUUGGGCCGUUAGCGCCAAGGCCUUGGGCUUGCUCAAGACUUGGUGUUAACUGUUCAGGACGACCAAACACAAGGCCUUAAAAUAGGUUGCUGACAAAAUGGUUUUAAUCGACCCGUCUUGAAACACGGACCAAGGAGUGCAACAAAUUUGCAAGUCGUAGGGUGACAAACCUGAAGGCGCAAUGAAAGUGAAAAAAUACCACCCAGUAAAAUGGGACAGUAUUGCCCGGUCUUGCGGCUACCGCCAAAGGAUCUGAGGUAGAGCAAAUUUGCUGCGACCCGAAAGAUGGUGAACUAUGCCUGCAUAGGGCGAAGCCAGAGGAAACUCUGGUGGAGGCUCGUAGCGAUUCUGACGUGCAAAUCGAUCGUCAAAUGUGGGUAUAGGGGCGAAAGACUAAUCGAACCAUCUAGUAGCUGGUUUCCGCCGAAGUUUCCCUCAGGAUAGCAGAGAUUCGUAAAGUAGUUUUAUGAGGUAAAGCGAAUGAUUAGAGGCUUGGGGGGCGAAACGCCUUUCACCUAUUCUCAAACUUUAAAUAUGUAAGAAGUCCUUGUUGCUUAAUUGAACUUGGACCUUCGAAUACAGAAUCUCUAGUGGGCCAUUUUUGGUAAGCAGAACUGGCGAUGCGGGAUGAACCGAACGUUAAGUUAAGGUGCCAAAGUGUACGCUUAUUUAGAUACCAUAAAAGGUGUUGGUUCAUCUAGACAGCAGGACGGUGGCCAUGGAAGUCGGAAUCCGCUAAGGAGUGUGUAACAACUCACCUGCCGAAUGAACUAGCCCUGAAAAUGGAUGGCGCUCAAGCGUACCACCUAUACUUAACCUUUAGAGCAAUUUUUUUUUUGAUGCUCUAAAGUGUAGGCGGACGUGGAGGUUUGUGUUAAAGCGCUUUGGGCGUGAGCCUGCGUGGAACAACCUCUAGUGCAGAUCUUGGUGGUAGUAGCAAAUAUUCAAAUGAGAACUUUGAAGACUGAAGUGGAGAAGGGUUCCGCAAGAACAGUGAUUGGUUGCGGGUUAGUCGAUCCUAAGAGAUAGGGAAACUCUGUUUCAAAGCAGCGCAUUUUUUCGCGCUCUCUAUCGAAAGGGAAUCUGGUUAACAUUCCAGAACUUAAGCUAGCAUGUUAAAGCGGCGACGCAAAAGAACUCGGUGACGUUGGCAAGGGGCCUGGGAAGAGUUUUCUUUUCUUUUUAACACGUAAACGACUGUGGAAUCGAUUUGCUCGGCGAAGCAGUUGCAUGCGUGGAAGAGCAGGACCAUUUUGGUCUUGUCCGGUGUCCUCUUAACGACCCUUGAAAAACCGAGGGAUUUUAUUAGUGUCUAGUUAAGUCGUACCCAUCACCGCAUCAGGUCUCCAAGGUGAACAGCCUCUAGUUGAUAGAACAAUGUAGAUAAGGGAAGUCGGCAAAUUAGAUCCGUAACUUUGGGAAAAGGAUUGGCUCUAAGGGUUGGGCUGGUUGGUGCUUGAAUUUUCUUAGUUGCAGGGCCGCGUUUACUUUGGUUUAUGCAGCCUAGCUUCUCGGAAUUUUCUUGGGCUGGCCGGCAAUUUGAACAACCAACUUAGAACUGGUACGGACAAGAGGAAUCUGACUGUCUAAUUAAAACAUAGCUUUGCGAUGGUCAGAAAGUGAUGUUGACGCAAAGUGAUUUCUGCCCAGUGCUCUGAAUGUCAAAGUGAAGAAAUUCAACCAAGCGCGGGUAAACGGCGGGAGUAACUAUGACUCUCUUAAGGUAGCCAAAUGCCUCGUCAUCUAAUUAGUGACGCGCAUGAAUGGAUUAACGAGAUUCCUACUGUCCCUAUCUACUAUCUAGCGAAACCACAGCCAAGGGAACGGGCUUGGCAAAAUCAGCGGGGAAAGAAGACCCUGUUGAGCUUGACUCUAGUUUGGCAUUGUGAAAAGACAUAGGGGGUGUAGCAUAAGUGGGAGAGUUUCGGCUCGAUCUUGAAAUACCACUACCCUUAUCGUUUUUUUACUUAUUUGAUGAAAAAGGGUUGGGAGCAAUCCCAUCUUCUAGCAUUAACUCGGCGUCAGUCGAGGACCUUUGUCAAAGACAUGGUCAGAUGGGGAGUUUGGCUGGGGCGGCACAUCUGUUAAAGAAUAA